rnacentral:rRNA from 1 species
AUGGCACUCUUCUCGUCGCCAGAGCCACACCACCUCCUCGUCUCCUUUCUUGUCUUGCUUCUCUCCUUGCUCUUCUGCUUCAUCAAGUUGAGGAGUUCAAAGACUGUCCCAACGCUUCCAGCGGAAUGGCCCCUGGUUGGCAUGCUCCCUUCCGUUGUCGCCAACCUCCACCGCUUCCAUGACUACACCACCUCCUUGCUCGCCGCUGCCGGCAGUAGCUUCGUGUUUCGUGGGCCUGCCAUGCACUUCUUCGUCACCUGCGACACAGCCAACGUCCGCCACAUCUUCGUCUCGAACUUCACAAAUUACCCCAAGGGCGAGGAGUUCGCUGCCAUCUUCGACGCCAUGGGGAACAGCUUCUUCAACGCGGACGGCGAGUCAUGGCGGCGCCAGCGUGGCAGAGUGCAGCACCUCAUGUCGAGCCCACAGUUGCUGGCUCACAUGGCCCGUUGCUGCCGCGAUAAGCUGGAGAACGGCCUCCUCCCCUUCUUGGCGCGCAUGGAGAGCCUAACCUCGUUGGAUAUGCAGGACCUGUUUACCAGGUUCACAUUCGACAUGACGGCCAUGUCGGUCUUUGGGGUCGACCCUGGCCUUCUGACCGCCGAUAUGCCACCUGUAAUUGUGCCGGAUGCCAUGGAAGCUGUCAUGGAUGUAGGCUUCAUCCGGAACAUGGUGCCAUCAUCUUGUUGGAAGUUGAUGAAGUGUCUAAAAAUCGGCCCGGAGCGGAAGCUCACCGCAGCGCAAUCGGAACUGCACCGAUUUGUCAGAGAGAUGAUGAAGAAGUGGAGAGACGGACCAGCCCACAUGGACAUGGAUAAAGAGCAAGAUAAAAAGAAGGUACAAAUUGUUUCUUCCUACAUCCAUGACCCAGAGUAUACCGACGACCACGGAAAACCUAAUGCCUUCCUGUACGCGACCCUGAUCAACUACAUGUUUGCUGGGCGUGACACGGUCGGCACGACCCUCACCUGGCUCUUCUACAACCUCAUCAAACACCCACACGUCGUGUCGAGCAUCAGAAGAGAACUAGCUCCCAUUGCCAUGCACAAAGCAACCACCACCAGCGGCAACCACAUGAUGAUCUUUGAGCCAGAGGAGACCGAACCGCUCGUCUACCUGCACGCGGCAUUGUUCGAAUCCAUGAGGCUGUACCCACCGGGCCCCAUCGAGCGCAAGACGGUGAUGACCGACGACAUACUGCCGAGCGGUCACAAGGUGCAAAAGGGUGAAACCAUCCUGAUUUCACUCUACUCAAUGGGCAGGAUGGAAGGUGUGUGGGGCAAGGAUUGCACGGAGUACCGCCCAGAAAGGUGGGUCAAAGAGGACGGCAAGCUUCUGUACGUACCGUCCUACAAGUUCCUAGCAUUCAACGCCGGGCCGAGAUCGUGCUUGGGCAAGCACAUCUCGGUAGUGCAUAUGAAGAGUGUCGUUGCCGCCAUGGUGUGGAACUUGGAUUUUGAAAUGGUGGGAGGGUACGUUGUAGAGCCAAAGUCAUCAGUUGUGCUCAAGAUGAAGAAUGGGUUGUGGGCCAAGAUCCUCAAACGGCGGAUCGAAUGA